rnacentral:rRNA from 1 species
UACGUAGGGAGCAAGCGUUGUCCGGAAUCAUUGGGCGUAAAGCGCGCGUAGGUGGCUUCGUAAGUCCGCUGUGAAAGUCAAAGGCUCAACCUUUGAAAGCCGGUGGAUACUGUGAAGCUAGAGUCCGGAAGAGGCGAGUGGAAUUCCUGGUGUAGCGGUGGAAUGCGCAGAUAUCAGGAAGAACACCAACGGCGAAGGCAGCUCGCUGGGACGGAACUGACGCUAAGGCGCGAAAGCGUGGGGAGCGAACAGG